AUUGAACGCUGGCGGAAUGCUUUACACAUGCAAGUCGAACGGCAGCGACGGGGCAACCGUGGUGGCGAGUGGCGAACGGGUGGGUAAUACAUCGGAACGUGCCCAAUCGUGGGGGAUAACGUAGCGAAAGUUACGCUAAUACCGCAUACGAUCUACGGAUGAAAGCGGGGGAUCGCAAGACCUCGCGCGAGUGGAGCGGCCGAUGUCAGAUUAGGUAGUUGGUGGGGUAAAGGCUCACCAAGCCAACGAUCUGUAGCUGGUCUGAGAGGACGACCAGCCACACUGGAACUGAGACACGGUCCAGACUCCUACGGGAGGCAGCAGUGGGGAAUUUUGGACAAUGGGCGCAAGCCUGAUCCAGCCAUUCCGCGUGCAGGAUGAAGGCCUUCGGGUUGUAAACUGCUUUUGUACGGAACGAAACGGCGAGCUCUAAUACAGUUUGCUAAUGACGGUACCGUAAGAAUAAGCACCGGCUAACUACGUG
rnacentral:rRNA from 1 species